UCUGCCGCACCGGUUUCCGGGAGGCGCGGCGGCCCGGUAGCUGCCCGCGGCCCAGCCCGCCGCUCCGAGCGGGGCCUGGUGUGCAAUGAGCCGGUUCGGGAGACCCGGCAGGAGCUUCACAAGUUUCAGACAUAAGGCCUGGCUCAGGCGGAGCAGGGCCGGGACCCGUGGCCCCAGCCUUGUACCCUUGAUACUCAAGACAGCAAGCCACUCGCGAACAUGAUGGCCCCCGGGAAAGUGGGCGAGGAGGCAGCGAGCCUUGGUGGUCAGCGGCGGGUCGGGGCCGUCCCCUGGGCGGUGGGUUUGGGCCGCUACAGCCACUUGAAACACUCCUCGGAGGCAAGCCGGCUGACAUAAUCUUCUCGCCCUGGCUCCCUGGGCUCACCCUUUGUGCAGACAGGGGAGCCCGGAAACAGGGAGUUUAACACCCGAGGCCCGGACCGGACGGGUGAGCGGACAACGUGGACACUUAGUGUGUGUGCAGAGGACAGAGGAGGAGGGGAGCUGCUUGUCACUGCCUGCUCCUGGCCGGAGGCGGUGCUGGGAUUGGCGGUGGGCGGGCGCUGGGAGGGCCACCAGGGCAGGGUCACCGGGCAGGUCCCUGUGUACCUGUGCCUGUGCACGCGUGUGUGGCUGUGACCCAGUCCUCAGUAUCCAGCAUCCAAUGUCCCCUUCUACUAGCACGAGUGAUGCCGGAAGCUCACCCAGCCGCCAAGGACUCUCGCCCCGCGCCAGGCACCGUGCUAAGCAUAUGACACGGUGACUCACUUCAUCCUCCAAAAACAGUAGUUGUUAUGAUCACCCCCAUCCUACAGCCGAGGAAACGGACAGACAGACAAGUGCAGGGGCCUUGUCUCUCUCUACCCCCUGCGGGUUGUCUCCGCUGAGCUGCAGCACCCCUGCGGGACCUGCUCCGGCCGAUGACGUGGGAGGGCCAGCGGCACCCCGGCCGGGGGCUCUGGGAGCCAGGGUGCGCUCGGUGACCGACUGCUGGUGUCCAGCAUUGCUGUGCCAUCAGCCUGCACCCCGGGGGAAGGACCAGCCCCCCGCGGUCUGCCUUUGUGGGGCCGUUAUCAGAACACAGCUCAGCCUGUCUGGACGGAGUGGGAUCCAGGCCCCUCCAGCACGGUGAGGACUCAGAAGACCCCACGCCUGGACGUCUUCCCCAGUGUCUUCGCUGACUCCUUGUCCCCCCUCCCCCGCCCCCCGCCCCGUACUCCAGACAGACACGGGUCACAUCGUGCGCCCAUGCUCGUCCCUGUCAUCAGACUGAGCUCCCAGGGGCGCACUUCUGGUCUCUGGCUUCCCAGCAUUUAGCGCAGAGCCUGGGGGCACAGGAGGUGCUAAGAGCAUGUUCACGGAGUGAAUAUCUGUAGGAAAGGAUCCUGGGCACCGCAGUUACCCCGAGGGACAAAGCCCCAGGUGUCCAAGAAGGCCAGUCCACCUCUGACCCCACGUUCUUGGCAGGUGACACGGGAAGGUAAGCUAUUCCGGGAACCUGGCACCCGGGGAGUCUACCCGGCUGGCUAGCAGGAUUUGUCCCAUCGUCUCCAGGCCGUCGCAGUAAAUCAGCAGGUGCGAGGAAUUUACCCCAGAGAGUGAUCCGGCAAUGGCAUGAAUGAGUAAUUUACAAAGGCCAUUACGGCGGCACAGAAUUACUUAUUUAUGGGAACUUUUUGACAGAUCUGCGGCUUAAUCAUUUAUCCCUCCGAACAUUUAGCCAGGGUCAUUGGUAAAUAAUUCACUUAUUACA